rnacentral:rRNA from 1 species
AUUGAACGCUGGCGGAAUGCUUUACACAUGCAAGUCGAACGGCAGCACGGGGCAACCUGGUGGCGAGUGGCGAACGGGUGAGUAAUACAUCGGAACGUGCCCAAUCGUGGGGGAUAACGUAGCGAAAGUUACGCUAAUACCGCAUACGAUCUACGGAUGAAAGCGGGGGAUCGCAAGACCUCGCGCGAAUGGAGCGGCCGAUGUCAGAUUAGGUAGUUGGUGGGGUAAAGGCUCACCAAGCCAACGAUCUGUAGCUGGUCUGAGAGGACGACCAGCCACACUGGAACUGAGACACGGUCCAGACUCCUACGGGAGGCAGCAGUGGGGAAUUUUGGACAAUGGGCGCAAGCCUGAUCCAGCAAUGCCGCGUGCAGGAUGAAGGCCUUC